rnacentral:rRNA from 1 species
CAGCCGCCGCGGUAAUACGUGGGUGGCAAGCGUUGUCCGGAAUUAUUGGGCGUAAAGGGCUCGCAGGCGGUUUCUUAAGUCUGAUGUGAAAGCCCCCGGCUCAACCGGGGAGGGUCAUUGGAAACUGGGAAACUUGAGUGCAGAAGAGGAGAGUGGAAUUCCACGUGUAGCGGUGAAAUGCGUAGAGAUGUGGAGGAACACCAGUGGCGAAGGCGACUCUCUGGUCUGUAACUGACGCUGAGGAGCGAAAGCGUGGGGAGCGAACAGGAUUAGAUACCCCAGUAGUCCCUGUCUCUUAUAA